GAUGAACGCUGGCGGCGUGCCUAAUACAUGCAAGUCGAGCGAACAGAUAAGGAGCUUGCUCCUUUGACGUUAGCGGCGGACGGGUGAGUAACACGUGGGUAACCUACCUAUAAGACUGGGAUAACUUCGGGAAACCGGAGCUAAUACCGGAUAACAUUCGGAACCGCAUGGUUCUAAUGUGAAAGAUGGUUUUGCUAUCACUUAUAGAUGGACCCGCGCCGUAUUAGCUAGUUGGUAAGGUAACGGCUUACCAAGGCGACGAUACGUAGCCGACCUGAGAGGGUGAUCGGCCACACUGGAACUGAGACACGGUCCAGACUCCUACGGGAGGCAGCAGUAGGGAAUCUUCCGCAAUGGGCGAAAGCCUGACGGAGCAACGCCGCGUGAGUGAUGAAGGGUUUCGGCUCGUAAAACUCUGUUAUUAGGGAAGAACAAACGUGUAAGUAACUGUGCACGUCUUGACGGUACCUAAUCAGAAAGCCACGGCUAACUACGUGCCAGCAGCCGCGGUAAUACGUAGGUGGCAAGCGUUAUCCGGAAUUAUUGGGCGUAAAGCGCGCGUAGGCGGUUUCUUAAGUCUGAUGUGAAAGCCCACGGCUCAACCGUGGAGAGUCAUUGGAAACUGGGAAACUUGAGUGCAGAAGAGGAAAGUGGAAUUCCAUGUGUAGCGGUGAAAUGCGCAGAGAUAUGGAGGAACACCAGUGGCGAAGGCGACUUUCUGGUCUGUAACUGACGCUGAUGUGCGAAAGCGUGGGGAUCAAACAGGAUUAGAUACCCUGGUAGUCCACGCCGUAAACGAUGAGUGCUAAGUGUUAGGGGGUUUCCGCCCCUUAGUGCUGCAGCUAACGCAUUAAGCACUCCGCCUGGGGAGUACGACCGCAAGGUUGAAACUCAAAGGAAUUGACGGGGACCCGCACAAGCGGUGGAGCAUGUGGUUUAAUUCGAAGCAACGCGAAGAACCUUACCAAAUCUUGACAUCCUUUGAAAACUCUAGAGAUAGAGCCUUCCCCUUCGGGGGACAAAGUGACAGGUGGUGCAUGGUUGUCGUCAGCUCGUGUCGUGAGAUGUUGGGUUAAGUCCCGCAACGAGCGCAACCCUUAAGCUUAGUUGCCAUCAUUAAGUUGGGCACUCUAGGUUGACUGCCGGUGACAAACCGGAGGAAGGUGGGGAUGACGUCAAAUCAUCAUGCCCCUUAUGAUUUGGGCUACACACGUGCUACAAUGGACAAUACAGAGGGCAGCUAAACCGCGAGGUCAUGCAAAUCCCAUAAAGUUGUUCUCAGUUCGGAUUGUAGUCUGCAACUCGACUACAUGAAGCUGGAAUCGCUAGUAAUCGUAGAUCAGCAUGCUACGGUGAAUACGUUCCCGGGUCU
rnacentral:rRNA from 1 species